AGUGAACGCUGGCGGAAUGCUUAACACAUGCAAGUCUCACGGGCAGCAAUGUCAGUGGCGGACGGGUGAGUAACGCGUAGGAAUGUGUCCUGUGGUGGGGGAUAACGUCGGGAAACUGGCGCUAAUACCGCAUAUGUCCUGAGGGGCAAAGCAGCAAUGCGCCAUUGGAGCAGCCUGCGUCCGAUUAGCUUGUUGGUGGGGUAAAGGCUUACCAAGGCGACGAUCGGUAGCUGGUCUGAGAGGAUGAUCAGCCACACUGGAACUGAGACACGGUCCAGACUCCUACGGGAGGCAGCAGUGGGGAAUAUUGGACAAUGGGCGAAAGCCUGAUCCAGCAAUUCCGCGUGGGUGAAGAAGGUCUUCGGAUUGUAAAGCCCUUUCGACGGGGACGAUGAUGACGGUACCCGUAGAAGAAGCCCCGGCUAACUUCGUGCCAGCAGCCGCGGUAAUAC
rnacentral:rRNA from 1 species